CAGCCGGUUAUUUUGCUUGUUGAUGCAGUUUCUUCGUAGUGUCAAUGGCCCUUACAAUUUGGUAUGUUUUUUACAGUGGCUGGUUCUGGGUUUUGCUUUCCAUAUUUAGUGCUUCCUUCAGGUGCUCUUGUAAGGCAGGCCUGGUGGUGACAGAAUCUCUCAGCAUUUGCUUGUCUGUAAAGAAUUUUAUUUUUCUUUCACUUACGAAGCUUAGUUUGUCAGGAUAUUAAAUUCUGGUGUGAAAAUUCUUUAAGAAUGUUGAAUA